GGGCCCGUGGCUUAGCAUGGUCAAAGCGUCCGACUGAUAAUCGGAAGAUCAUGAGUUCAAAUCUCAUCGGGCCCACCA
rnacentral:tRNA from 1 species